GAUGAAGAACGCAGCGAAAUGCGAUAAGUAAUGUGAAUUGCAGAAUUCAGUGAAUCAUCGAAUCUUUGAACGCAUAUUGCGCCUUCUGGUAUUCCAGGAGGCAUACUUGUUCGAGCGCCGUUUUCAUACUUCAAGCUAUGCUUGGUGUUGAAUGUUUAAGUCGAUUUAUUACGACUCAUUCGAAACUCUUCGGCACUUGAUCUUCAAGUCAUAACAUGACAGAAAUCUUGUUAUUACAUGUUGAUUAUUAGUUACCCAUCUUUUCAAACUUUUAGAAUUGAUGGCCUCGAAUCAAGUAGGACUACCCGCUGAACUUAAGCAUGUCAAUAAGCGGAGGA
rnacentral:misc_RNA from 1 species